rnacentral:misc_RNA from 1 species
AAGUCGUAACAAGGUAACCGUAGGUGAACCUGCGGUUGGAUCAUUACUGAUUACUGUUUCCAAGGUCGAGACCUAGUCUCUCUUGCAAACUUUUCACACUUUGUGCACCGAGAUUGUAUUUUGGGCUGUUGUUUCGGCAGUAGCCCAGCAUUUUCAACCACUUUAAAUUGAUCUGAAUUUUUUUAUAAAAAAUAACAACUUUUGACAACGGAUCUCUUGGCUCUC